UACGUAGGGGGCAAGCGUUGUCCGGAAUCAUUGGGCGUAAAGCGCGUGUAGGCGGCUUGGUAAGUCUGCUCUGAAAGCCCGGGGCUCAACCCUGGGAGGCGGGUGGAUACUGCCGAGCUCGAGUCCGGAAGAGGCGAGUGGAAUUCCUGGUGUAGCGGUGAAAUGCGCAGAUAUCAGGAGGAACACCAAUGGCGAAGGCAGCUCGCUGGGACGGUACUGACGCUGAGACGCGAAAGCGUGGGGGAGCAAACAGG
rnacentral:rRNA from 1 species